rnacentral:rRNA from 1 species
GUACGCCUACGGGAGGCAGCAGUGGGGAAUAUUGGGCAAUGGGCGCAAGCCUGACCCAGCAACGCCGCGUGAAGGAAGAAGGCUUUCGGGUUGUAAACUUCUUUUAUUCGGGACGAAGAAAGUGACGGUACCGAAUGAAUAAGCCACGGCUAACUACGUGCCAGCAGCCGCGGUAAUACGUAGGGGGCAAGCGUUAUCCGGAUUUACUGGGUGUAAAGGGAGCGUAGACGGAAAGGCAAGUCAGAAGUGAAAGCCCAAGGCUCAACCAUGGGACUGCUUUUGAAACUGUCAAACUAGAGUACGGG